AUUGAACGCUGGCGGCAUGCCUUACACAUGCAAGUCGAACGGUAACAGGUCUUCGGAUGCUAACGAGUGGCGAACGGGUGAGUAAUACAUCGGAACGUGCCUAGUAGUGGGGGAUAACUACUCGAAAGAGUGGCUAAUACCGCAUGAGAUCUACGGAUGAAAGCAGGGGAUCGCAAGACCUUGUGCUACUAGAGCGGCCGAUGACAGAUUAGGUAGUUGGUGGGAUAAAAGCUUACCAAGCCGACGAUCUGUAGCUGGUCUGAGAGGACGAUCAGCCACACUGGGACUGAGACACGGCCCAGACUCCUACGGGAGGCAGCAGUGGGGAAUUUUGGACAAUGGGCGAAAGCCUGAUCCAGCAAUGCCGCGUGCAGGAUGAAGGCCUUCGGGUUGUAAACUGCUUUUGUACGGAACGAAAAGCCCCGGGUUAAUACCCUGGGGUCAUGACGGUACCGCAAGAAUAAGCACCGGCUAACUACGUGCCAGCCGCCGCCGUAA
rnacentral:rRNA from 1 species